GGAGGAGGAGGGGGUGGAGGACAAGGGGAAGAGGAGGAAGAGGGGGAGGAGGAGCCAUUUUAUCACAUUGGAGCUGCACGCUGCUGCUCUGAAACCGACCACCACCUUCUGUUGGGAUCCCGUGCUUGGAAUCAAACUUUUUUGCUUCAUGAUUCACACCUCCCAUCCCUCUUGCUACUGUUUUUUGAAGUGACAGCAAAGGCAUUUUUUUUUUUUGGAACUGCAUUCCUUAAGAUUCCACCUGCCACCUAAUCAUUAAGUCCCUGCAGAAAGGAAGUAUCAGACACAAAAAACGAAAGAGCACUUCUCCCCUGUCUUCUCUCCUUUCAGCAUCAGGUGUCUCCAUGAGCUAGAGUUCUUGUUAAGGACCAAACAGGAAAAUAAAUGGAAAAUACUUAA
rnacentral:lncRNA from 1 species